GGCGGAUAAAUAAGUCAGUGGUGAAAGUCUGCAGCUCAACUGUAGAAUUGCCAUUGAUACUGUUUAUCUUGAGUUAUUAUGAAGUGGUUAGAAUGAGUAGUGUAGCGGUGAAAUGCAUAGAUAUUACUCAGAAUACCGAUUGCGAAGGCAGAUCACUAAUAAUCGACUGACGCUGAUGGACGAAAGCGUAGGUAGCGAACAGGAUUAGAUACCCUGGUAGUCUACGCCGUAAACGAUGGUUACUAGCUGUUCGGCCUAAUUGAGGGCUGAGUGGUUAAGCGAAAGUGAUAAGUAACCCACCUGGGGAGUACGUUCGCAAGAAUGAAACUCAAAGGAAUUGACGGGGGCCCGCACAAGCGGUGGAGCAUGUGGUUUAAUUCGAUGAUACGCGAGGAACCUUACCAGGGCUUAAAUGUAGUCUGACAGGGCUGGAAACAGCUUUUUCUUCGGACAGAUUACAAGGUGCUGCAUGGUUGUCGUCAGCUCGUGCCGUGAGGUGUCAGGUUAAGUCCUAUAACGAGCGCAACCCCUGUGGUUAGUUGCCAGCGAGUCAAGUCGGGAACUCUAGCCAGACUGCCGGUGCAAACCGCGAGGAAGGUGGGGAUGACGUCAAAUCAUCACGGCCCUUACGUCCUGGGCCACACACGUGCUACAAUGGUAGGGACAGAGAGCAGCCACUUCGCGAGAAGGAGCGAAUCUAUAAACCCUAUCACAGUUCGGAUCGCAGUCUGCAACUCGACUGCGUGAAGCUGGAAUCGCUAGUAAUCGGAUAUCAGCCAUGAUCCGGUGAUACGUUCCCGGGCAUUGUACUCACCGCCCG
rnacentral:rRNA from 1 species